rnacentral:rRNA from 1 species
UUGGUUAAGUUAGAAAGGGCGCACGGUGGAUGCCUUGGCACUAGGAGCCGAAGAAGGACGGGACUAACACCGAUAUGCUUUGGGGAGCUGUACGUAAGCGUUGAUCCAGAGAUUUCCGAAUGGGGGAACCCACUAUCUUUAGUCGGAUAGUAUCCUUACGUGAAUACAUAGCGUGAGGAAGGCAGACCCAGGGAACUGAAACAUCUAAGUACCUGGAGGAAGAGAAAGAAAAAUCGAUUUCCUGAGUAGCGGCGAGCGAAACGGAAAGAGCCCAAACCAAGAAGCUUGCUUCUUGGGGUUGUAGGACACUCUAUACGGAGUUACAAAAGAAAGUUAUAAAUGAAGCGGUCUGGAAAGGCCCGCCAAAGACGGUAACAGCCCGGUAGUUGAAAUAGCUUUCCCUCCAGAGUGGAUCCUGAGUACGGCGGAACACGUGAAAUUCCGUCGGAAUCCGGGAGGACCAUCUCCCAAGGCUAAAUACUCCCUAGUGACCGAUAGUGAACCAGUACCGUGAGGGAAAGGUGAAAAGCACCCCGGAAGGGGAGUGAAACAGUUCCUGAAACCGUGUGCCUACAAGUAGUUAGAGCCCGUUAAUGGGUGAUAGCGUGCCUUUUGUAGAAUGAACCGGCGAGUUACGAUUUGUUGCAAGGUUAAGCGGAAAAAGCGGAGCCGUAGCGAAAGCGAGUCUGAAUAGGGCGCAUAAGUAACAGGUCGUAGACCCGAAACCAGGUGAUCUACCCAUGUCCAGGAUGAAGGUAAGGUAAUACUUACUGGAGGUCCGAACCCACGCACGUUGAAAAGUGCGGGGAUGAGGUGUGGGUAGCGGAGAAAUUCCAAUCGAACUUGGAGAUAGCUGGUUCUCUCCGAAAUAGCUUUAGGGCUAGCCUCGAGGUAAAGAGUCAUGGAGGUAGAGCACUGUUUGGACUAGGGGCCCUUCUCGGGUUACCGAAUUCAGAUAAACUCCGAAUGCCAUGUACUUAUACUCGGGAGUCAGACUGCGAGUGAUAAGAUCCGUAGUCGAAAGGGAAACAGCCCAGACCACCAGUUAAGGUCCCCAAAUAUAUGUUAAGUGGAAAAGGAUGUGGGGUUGCUUAGACAACCAGGAUGUUGGCUUAGAAGCAGCCACCAUUGAAAGAGUGCGUAAUAGCUCACUGGUCGAGUGACCCCGCGCCGAAAAUGUACCGGGGCUAAACAUAUUACCGAAACUGUGGAUGAACCUCUUUAGAGGUUCGUGGUAGGAGAGCGUUCUAAGGGCGGUGAAGUCAGACCGGAAGGACUGGUGGAGCGCUUAGAAGUGAGAAUGCCGGUAUGAGUAGCGAAAGAAGGGUGAGAAUCCCUUCCACCGAAUAUCUAAGGUUUCCUGAGGAAGGCUCGUCCGCUCAGGGUUAGUCGGGACCUAAGCCGAGGCCGAUAGGCGUAGGCGAUGGACAACAGGUAGAGAUUCCUGUACCAGUGCUAAUUGUUUAACCGAUGGGGUGACACAGAAGGAUAGGGAAUCGCACGAAUGGAAAUGUGCGUCCAAGCAGUGAGUGUGAGAAGUAGGCAAAUCCG